rnacentral:rRNA from 1 species
CUGUGUGUUGUUGGGUAGGGGAGCGUUCUGUAAGCCUGUGAAGGUGUGCUGUGAGGCAUGCUGGAGGUAUCAGAAGUGCGAAUGCUGACAUAAGUAACGAUAAAGCGGGUGAAAAGCCCGCUCGCCGGAAGACCAAGGGUUCCUGUCCAACGUUAAUCGGGGCAGGGUGAGUCGACCCCUAAGGCGAGGCCGAAAGGCGUAGUCGAUGGGAAACAGGUUAAUAUUCCUGUACUUGGUGUUACUGCGAAGGGGGGACGGAGAAGGCUAUGUUGGCCGGGCGACGGUUGUCCCGGUUUAAGCGUGUAGGCUGGUUUUCCAGGCAAAUCCGGAAAAUCAAGGCUGAGGCGUGAUGACGAGGCACUACGGUGCUGAAGCAACAAAUGCCCUGCUUCCAGGAAAAGCCUCUAAGCAUCAGGUAACAUCAAAUCGUACCCCAAACCGACACAGGUGGUCAGGUAGAGAAUACCAAGGCGCUUGAGAGAACUCGGGUGAAGGAACUAGGCAAAAUGGUGCCGUAACUUCGGGAGAAGGCACGCUGAUAUGUAGGUGAAGUCCCUCGCGGAUGGAGCUGAAAUCAGUCGAAGAUACCAGCUGGCUGCAACUGUUUAUUAAAAACACAGCACUGUGCAAACACGAAAGUGGACGUAUACGGUGUGACGCCUGCCCGGUGCCGGAAGGUUAAUUGAUGGGGUCAGCGCAAGCGAAGCUCUUGAUCGAAGCCCCGGUAAACGGCGGCCGUAACUAUAACGGUCCUAAGGUAGCGAAAUUCCUUGUCGGGUAAGUUCCGACCUGCACGAAUGGCGUAAUGAUGGCCAGGCUGUCUCCACCCGAGACUCAGUGAAAUUGAACUCGCUGUGAAGAUGCAGUGUACCCGCGGCAAGACGGAAAGACCCCGUGAACCUUUACUAUAGCUUGACACUGAACAUUGAGCCUUGAUGUGUAGGAUAGGUGGGAGGCUUUGAAGUGUGGACGCCAGUCUGCAUGGAGCCGACCUUGAAAUACCACCCUUUAAUGUUUGAUGUUCUAACGUGGACCCGUGAUCCGGGUUGCGGACAGUGUCUGGUGGGUAGUUUGACUGGGGCGGUCUCCUCCUAAAGAGUAACGGAGGAGCACGAAGGUUGGCUAAUCCUGGUCGGACAUCAGGAGGUUAGUGCAAUGGCAUAAGCCAGCUUGACUGCGAGCGUGACGGCGCGAGCAGGUGCGAAAGCAGGUCAUAGUGAUCCGGUGGUUCUGAAUGGAAGGGCCAUCGCUCAACGGAUAAAAGGUACUCCGGGGAUAACAGGCUGAUACCGCCCAAGAGUUCAUAUCGACGGCGGUGUUUGGCACCUCGAUGUCGGCUCAUCACAUCCUGGGGCUGAAGUAGGUCCCAAGGGUAUGGCUGUUCGCCAUUUAAAGUGGUACGCGAGCUGGGUUUAGAACGUCGUGAGACAGUUCGGUCCCUAUCUGCCGUGGGCGCUGGAGAACUGAGGGGGGCUGCUCCUAGUACGAGAGGACCGGAGUGGACGCAUCACUGGUGUUCGGGUUGUCAUGCCAAUGGCACUGCCCGGUAGCUAAAUGCGGAAGAGAUAAGUGCUGAAAGCAUCUAAGCACGAAACUUGCCCCGAGAUGAGUUCUCCCUGACCCUUUAAGGGUCCUGAAGGAACGUUGAAGACGACGACGUUGAUAGGCCGGGUGUGUAAGCGCAGCGAUGCGUUGAGCUAACCGGUACUAAUGAACCGUGAGGCUUAACCU